AAGCGGGAACAGCUCAAAUUUGAAAUCUGGCCCUUGGGUCCGAGUUGUAAUUUGCAGAGGAUGCUUUUGGUGCGGUGCCUUCCGAGUUCCCUGGAACGGGACGCCUUAGAGGGUGAGAGCCCCGUACGGUUGGACACCAAGCCUAUGUAAAGCUCCUUCGACGAGUCGAGUAGUUUGGGAAUGCUGCUCAAAAUGGGAGGUAUAUUUCUUCUAAAGCUAAAUAUUGGCCAGAGACCGAUAGCGCACAAGUAGAGUGAUCGAAAGAUGAAAAGCACUUUGAAAAGAGGGUUAAAUAGCACGUGAAAUUGUUGAAAGGGAAGGAUUUAUGACCAGACUUUUUCUAGGGGGAUCAUCCGGUGUUCUCACCGGUGCACUUCCCCUAGUUGAGGCCAGCAUCGGUUUCUGUCGGGGGAUAAAAGCUUUAGGAAUGUGGCUCCCUCCGGGGAGUGUUAUAGCCUGUUGCAUAAUACCCUGACGGGGACCGAGGUUCGCGCAUUGCAAGGAUGCUGGCGUAAUGGUUAUUAAUCACCCGUCUUGAAACACGGACCAAGGAGUCGAACAUUUGUGCGAGUGUUUGGGUGUUAAACCCUCACGCGUAAUGAAAGUGAACGGAGGUGAGAGCCUUUCGGGGUGCAUCAUCGACCGAUCCUGAUGUCUUCGGAUGGAUUUGAGUAAGAGCAUUAAUGUUCGGACCCGAAAGAUGGUGAACUAUGCGUGGAUAGGGUGAAGCCAGAGGAAACUCUGGUGGAGGCUCGCAGCGGUUCUGACGUGCAAAUCGAUCGUCAAAUCUGCGCAUGGGGGGCGA
rnacentral:rRNA from 1 species